UACGUAGGGUGCAAGCGUUGUCCGGAAUUAUUGGGCGUAAAGAGCUCGUAGGCGGUCUGUCGCGUCUGCUGUGAAAACUCAGGGCUUAACCCUGAGCUUGCAGUGGGUACGGGCAGACUAGAGUGCGGUAGGGGAGACUGGAAUUCCUGGUGUAGCGGUGAAAUGCGCAGAUAUCAGGAGGAACACCGAUGGCGAAGGCAGGUCUCUGGGCCACUACUGACGCUGGAGAAG
rnacentral:rRNA from 1 species